GGUUAUGGCUCAGUGGUAAUGAGCUUGCCUAGGAUGUAUGAGGCACUGGGUUCGAUUCUCAGCACCA
rnacentral:tRNA from 1 species